AUUUAGGAACACUGAAAAUUUAUUUUGGGAUUCUCUGCAGUGAAGGUAAAACUAUGGAGUCUUUGGUGCUUACUUUUGGUAAGCCUUUCAAUAAGCAUCAGAUGACGAAUAAAGAAAAUGCAAACAUGUUAUUUGAAUGUUACUUUUAGGUUCCUUACAGAAAUCAACCAUCUGGUAUACAUAAGCGUUUAAGAAUAGUCUCUGAAACAGAUACUCACUACAUGAAUCACCCAUUAUAGUUUUUAAACAGGUUACUAUACCAAAAAGUGCGACAAAUGUUUCUUUAAAAAUGAACAAUCAGAUAUUCUGGAAGGGAAAAGAGAGUGGUUGAAGAAGUCAACCCAGAGGAAAUACGACUGUGCUGAGUUCUGAAGGUGAGCAGUAGCUGGACACCAGAUAUGCAGGAGAUGGAGGGCAUUGGAGGCAGGUACAAAUUCAUGGAGAAUAUGGGAAAAGAAGAGGUGAGCCUGUCCUUUCUCAAGGGACUGUCAUUAUAAUGGAAAAGCAGCAGGGUGCUUCUGAAAGCUCAGCCACAGUGGAUUGCUUCAGGAAUGGUCUCACUCCUGUUUCCUCUACACUGAAGGCAGCAAAGGGUUGUCUUCCCUGCUUAGUUACACCUGAAACCUUCUGGAACAGAUGAAUAAGCCUGGACAUUUUACAACUGUCAGCUGAUAUGACACCAGUGAAACUCCACAUGACCACCAGCAAAACUCUACAUCAUGUCCGACUGCAAGAAUGGGAACCUAAUUAAUAAAAGUUAUGAUUUCAUGUAUGUAUAAUAUGUCAAAAUACAUUUUAAUGUCAUGUAUAUUUAAAAAGAACAAAUAAAAAAGAAAUUAUUGCAUACAUUGGUUUAGAAAUAAUAGUGUCACUGUAUAAGAUUAUUAUAAUUCUUCAGUUUUAGGUUUCUUAUCUUGCCAGGCUCCUAAAAUUCAUUUAUCAUUCUUUUUGUUCAGAAUUGAAUCUUUAGUCAGUUUUAGUGGUAUUUCUGUGACUUCUGAGCAGAAUCAGAGCCCAUAGAAAAUGCAAUCAGAGUGUGCACCUAUGUGGAAGAUGUGUGCUACUUCCAAAGAGAAAGGUCAGCUUGCUAAUUUUCACAUUUUUAUUAACCUAUCAUAUGUUAAGACUGUGAAUUAAAUGUCACCUCUUCAUUAUGGGGCUUUUGUAGUCUCACUAUUUUAAUGUAUAUCUGCACAACUCAUCAAUACAGCGUUCUUUGUUUAAUUACUUAGCUGUGAAAUAAAGCGAAAAGAGAAGACAAAGGUCUCUCCUGGAACACAGAUUAUCAUUUAUAAAGAUUUAAAUAAUCACAAGCUUCACAUGUUUUCCAUCCAAUUUAUUUUGCGCCACAAGAUAAGACAAGGUAUGCAAUGGCUAAGUCCUGUGUUAC